UACGUAGGGACCAAGCGUUGUUCGGAUUUACUGGGCGUAAAGGGCGCGUAGGCGGCAAUUCAAGUCAUCUGUGAAAUCUCCGGGCUUAACUCGGAAUGGUCAGGUGAUACUGCUUUGCUAGAGUGCAGAAGGGGCAAUCGGAAUUCUUGGUGUAGCGGUGAAAUGCGUAGAUAUCAAGAGGAACACCUGAGGUGAAGACGGGUUGCUGGGCUGACACUGACGCUGAGGCGCGGAAGCUAGGGGAGCAAACGGG
rnacentral:rRNA from 1 species